GACCAAAUAGCUCAGUGUUUAGAGCAUCCAGUUGAAACUUGAGAGGUCCAGGGUUCAAUCCCCUGUCUGGUCG
rfam:Scleroderma citrinum Foug A unplaced genomic scaffold scaffold_165, whole genome shotgun sequence.